rnacentral:lncRNA from 1 species
UCACACAUACACACACACACAAACACUUCUGUGUCUCUAUACUGCACAGUCUAUCCCCUACUCGUGUUUGCUUUUGUUUUGUUUUAGGCCUCUGGUAUAUUGUGAAGAGAUGAGCAAGAAUUAAUGCUAGAAAGAGAAUAGAAUCAGAGAGAUUCUUUCAACGCAGAGAACCCCAAAACAGGAAACAGAACUAGCACGCAACCAUUCCCUCGCCAGAAAUAUGUUGUUUGCUUCAAGA